rnacentral:tRNA from 1 species
GGAGCUAUGGCUCAGCAGGUAAGAGCGCUUGCUGUAUAAGCAUGAGGACCUGAGUUCAAACCUCUGGUAUCCA